UGGGGGAUCGUCUAAUGGUAGGACCCGGGAUUCUGAUUCCCGUUAUCUAGGUUCGAGUCCUAGUCCCCCAGCCA
rnacentral:tRNA from 2 species